GUCUUUGUCAGCAUUUCUAAUGGCAAGAGUGACGAAGUCUGCUUGCGGAGUGCCAGGACCGACAGCUGUGUUUUAUUAUUGAAUAUUUCUGGUGGCGAGCUUGGCCGCCGCUCUGUUUAUGUUGCUUGUAAGAUUUCACGCAAGACUCCGCAAGGUCCCGGGCUUAAACUGGAGCGUCUGAUCUGCUGGAUAAUUCAUUCCAUCCCUUUCAUUCUUGAGCCCUUUUCUUUUGAUUUUUUUCCAAGUGCCUAUUGAGUACUGCCAGAAAAUGGAGCCUCCCGGCUGGCGCGGAGACCCCAGGUCUCUGCACGGCUCCAAGCUGCUUCCCUCAGGUGGCCUAAGGCUGGCUGUCUGCUUCUCCGAGGAGCUGCUGUCCCCAAGGUCAAGCUCAGCAGCCUGAGCCUGAGCCUGGCCUGAGAGCAAGCCCUGCCUCUCCCCGGGGCUGCCAGCUCUGGCUGCUGGACCGCUGAGGCUCGCUGCCCGCAGUGCUCUCUGUAUUUUGUUUUUCAAAAACUUUGUUUUACUUAAACCUAGCCAGGCUGCUUUGGAGCGCUACCCUGGCUUUGGAGGUCUGAGUGUGGUCUCCGAGUUUGCCACAGUCUCCUUCACUUCUUUUUGAGCAUGAAAAUGAAAGCUUGCAGGAACAGACGUCCAGCAAACUGGGCCACCCGUCGGCCAUUCGUUUAUUCAUUUGUCACAUGCUUGCAGGCAUCUGGGGGGGCAUAGAAAUGGAACCAAGCAUCAGAUGCCAACUCCCUGUACCUAAAAGAACAUCAUCUCAGCUCCCCCCAUUGGAAUUCAAAGGUGUCUGCAGCUCUGGGGAGGGGAUGGAUUUAUCACAGUCACCUCUGCUGUGACCUCGGACUACACCUGGUUCCGGCUCUGGGGUCCAUGCAUAGUCUGGCUUCCUUUCUUUUGCGGCAAGAUUCCUAUGAGGUUCCCCAGCCCUUCCUAGUGUUUCCACCAAAAGCCUCUUCUCGAGAGACAUCGGCAGGUGCUGGAGAUUUUCCUGAGGGCUGGAGGAGCGGGAAGAUCCACAUCCUAAGGAAUAAAUGACGGUCAACUUCCUGCCUGUUUUCUCAAAGUUCCUCAGCCACGUCUUGUCCCGAAAGGUAGGAGCCAGGACACCAACCAGGCCUUCGUUCUUCCCCUUAGUCACUGUGCGUUUAUUCAGUAACUGCUAUGUGCCAAACAGCUGGGGCCCCAGAACCCCCAAACGCCUGGCCUCAGGGUGCCCUGGGGUUAGGGGUGCACAGGAUGCACAUUUAGAGGGGAGCUGGGCUCUGGGAAGGACCCAGGCGCACUGAGGGGCCUGUGUUAGGCAGACUUGGCCACUCGUGAGGGCAGGGAGGGCUCCUCCCAGGAGCCCGUGGCCCAGCAGGGUGGAGGGAGCUUCAGGCCUGGGCCCAGGAGGGCUGGAAACACUCAGGGCUCCAGGGAGGGCCUUGCUCAGCGUGCGGGUGUGGGUGGGAAACUGUGAGAGGCUGUCAGGAGGGCAGAGCAGAGCUGGGAUGCCCAGGGGUCCUGAUCCUAGCUGGGAGCUAGAGGAGCACAGUCCACAGGCUCUGUCCACGGACUCUCCUGUCGGCUGCCCUCUCCCCUCCUCCGCCUCCUGCUCCCACCCCUCAGCGCUCUGUGUUCCGGGGCUUGGUCUCCUCCAGGACGUCCAGCCUCUGUGCACCCUGCUGGCUCCAACUCCCCACCAAGUUUCGGAGUCAAACUCUUCUCUAUUUGUUCAAAUCAUUGGCCACGGGCAGACUGUAGGCCAGGCUUUCGGGGAGCCAUCCCAAUCCCGCCCCUGGAGCUGGGCCAGUGCAAGGUGACAGGCCUGUGCUGGCACAGGGUGGGGGCCAUCUGCAGGCAAGUUUUCAGCCCCCACUGUCCUCUGUUCUUGGGGAGCAGCCCCUCCACACUGUCCUCUAGCUGACCUUGGGGAGGAGCCCACAGCUGGUUUUUCCCCGCUUGGAAACAUAAAGGCAGCUGCAAAAUAAACACAGCCAGGAAGGGACUGAAGCUCUGGAGUCUUGCGAAGGCCCCACCCAGGGCUCCUGGAACCCUCCUGCCCCUGGGGGUGGGAGCCCCAGAGCCCUAAAUCUGAGAAAUGGACAGGAAGAAGUAACCCACAUCUGCAUGCGACACAUGUUGGGGCUCCCCUCAAAGGCUCGGAAAAACCUACCCAGGGCUGGAAAGGCUGGGAGCCAGAGACUGAGAAAGACAGACGAGGAGGAAAAGCCAAUGUAAGCAGGAGGCUGCUGGAUAAAAUGGUAGCUGUUUGCGGACACACACAUAUUUUUAAAAUAAAGUUCGAAAUGAUUUCCAAAUAAAAAUAUUGUUCCAGAGCGAGCCCUAAGUGUCUGCCAGGCCAGUGGUUGCACCCGGGUCUGCUCAGGCCUGCUGGUACCCGGCUUUGGAGCCUCUGACCUGGUCCUCUGAGUGGGCUGGGUGCCCUUCGAUGCCCCAUGUGGCCAGUGUCAGGGCAGAGCUGGGCCACGUUUGUUGUGCUGUGAACAUCAAGGCCCGGUUCCUCCCAGAGCCCCUGGAGUCCCCAGGGAGAGGCUGGGGGAGCAGCUGAGCCCAGGGACCUCCACCCUCACACUUGCCCUCCCUCUGGCUCCUGGAGGAGGAGUCAAAUGCUGGUGGAGUCAUAGAAUUCCCAUCCCCAGAGCUGACAAAUCGCUUUCUCCCAGCCCAGCCCCAAACACAGGAAGCAGAGGCCCUAAGGCUGGGCUGCACUUACAGACCCCACUGGCCAGCUCCCCCUUCCUGGCCCCAGAGCUGGUAGGGGGACAUGCAGAAUCCUGCCCCUCAAGCAGGCAGAAUCAACAUCUGCAUUUCAGCAGGACUCCCUGGGACGUGUGGGUGAGUUGAAAGCCACAUCCUGAAAAUAGGAGCUAAUGUAGUUCUUUAAAUGUGCAGAUUUCAGAGGGUGCAGAGGACUCUGUGGUCAGGAAGAGAGCCAGGCCUCGGGCAGCCCCUGCAGACUGGGGCGAGAGGCCCCAGCACCCACCAUCACACAUCUGCGGUGCACGUUGGGUGCUGUGGAACAUCUGGCAACCAGUACUACUGGGGCCUGGAUUCAGGGAGGAGAUUCAGACCGGGGCCGGGUGGAAACAAGUCCUCAGACCAAAGCCAAAUGCACGAAGAUGCCAGUCACCAAAACAAACAUCUGGAAAUAGCAACGAGUAUCUGGUACUAAAGGGCCUCCGGGUCUAGUCAUUCAUCUUGGACAUCCUUUAUACCCAAGAUCAUGCUGAGGGGAGCCCCGCAUGCGAGCCUGCGGGGAAGGGGCAGGGAGAGGAGGGUACAGCCAGGCCUGGGCUUGGCUCUAGAAGCCUGAUCCUGCACCAAGGGGGAAAGGGGUCUGGGGCUCUGAGAGGAAGUUAGGGGGUGUGGAGCCCCUGUGGGCUCCAUCCAACCCUUAUGACCUGCCCAGGACAAGGCCCCUGAAGGCCUCUCUGUCCCUAGCCCAACUUCCCGAGCUGAUUCUCUUGGUGUUCAGCCUUCACACAGAAUUUGGCUCAGGAUACAGGGCACAGGGGUGGGAAGCUGAGAACCAGCAGGUGGUGACCCUCUAGGAGGAAGCCCUGUGACAGUGUUGGGGGCGGGGAUUGGGGCUGCCCCAAUGGCAUCUUGAAGCUGAAGCUGAGUCUCCUCUGUGACUUGAAGCACAGUCCUGUCCCGGGUGACCCCAGUCCCUAGGAACGCUCCUCCUCUGCCUUUAGGUUGCAGUUUAAAUCCUCCAAACCCCAAUCGAUAGUAUCAUGAGCCCAGAUUAGCUGGAUUCUCCAGGGAGGCAGAGCCAACGAUGGAGGCUGAGGAGUCAGCAAGCUCAGAGCCCCGGAGAGCCGCAAGGGGGUCUCAGGUCCAGUGCAAGGGCAAGAGAAGACCGCAUGUCCAGGUCAAGCUGCAAGUGACAUCUGUUAAGUGGGCCUUUCUGCUCCAUGGAGGCCCAUCCACCUACCUCACACAUCUCCAACUCGAGUGCCCAUCCUCUCCUGAGCACUCUCACUCAAGUAACAUUUGACCAAUGUGUGGGCCUCUGGUGGCCCAGGUGAGUGGACAAAGCCAUCAGCAGCCAUCUCUCUGGACUGAGUUCUCGGGACCUUCUCCAUGGUGGCUUGCUCAGCUUCACAACUGGGACAUGGGUGGUGGCAUCGCAUCUCUCUAGGGAGACACAGGGCCUCACUGGGCUCUUUCUCUUCAGUUUCCCUGUGUCCAUGAGCAUCAAGCUGUGCUGGGAUCCUGAUUCUGACUGAGGGAAGGGGCACAGGAUGUACCUUGUAUUAGUCAGGGCUUUAAUAGAGAAGCAGAUAAAACAUGAGAUAUGCAAAUGUAUAAGAAAUUAUAAGAUUGGCUUACGAUGAUCAGCCACAGAGUCGGACAAGGAAGCAUUCAGAGGGCAUCUGCACGCUGGAGGCUGAAGGAUCCAACCCAAGGUCUCGAGUUCACUGCGGUGUCCCAUGCAAGGCCACACUAGCAGACCAGUAGUCUGCACUGGAAGGCUGAGGAGUCUAUGCCUGAAGGGUGAAGGAUCCAAGGCAGAAGCUAAAGAGUCUGUACUAGAAGCCAAGAGAUGACAUCCAGGCCGAAGGCAAAGACUGGAAGACUGGAGCUCCUCCAAAGGAUAAAUGAGGUUUCUCCUUCCCUUGGUCUCAUGGGUCCAUAACUGACCAGGUUAGCAGGACCCUUUGCUUGGCCUUGUCCUCUCCACUGCCUCGCCUUCCCCUGUUCCCUCUCUGCCUCCUGAUGGUCUCCAUAACCCUGUCUGCACCUGAAUCUUACAGCUCUGCUUCAGGGGGUAGGGAGGAAAUCUUAACUGUGGUGUCACUCUAAAUGGGGUGCCCUGCGCAGUGUGAGGUCUGUGGCCUCCACCUUCCAGACACCAGUCAGGAGAAUAGUUGUAGUUUAUGACGAGGUGUCCCCAGCACUACCCAAUGCCUCCCAGGCAAAACUGCGUGGUUAAGAGUCACUAACUAUACUGCUAAUCUCCGUAAGUUCAUCCAGAACAACAGUUUGUGCUUCUGUUGGUUGAUUGAUUGGUCAUCUUUGCCAUGCUGAAAUCUUAUAACCUGAACAAUUACCUCUAAGAAAUAGCAUGCAAUAUAUUAACUAGCAUUAAUUUUUUCUUUUUUAAAAAAUUCUGUAUCAUUCCUAUUUUUGUUUUGUUUUGUUAAAAAAGAAAAAAGAAUCACUGCCUUAAAAAGGGGGGGGGCAAUGAGGAAGGAGAGGCCCAGAAAAGACCAGGAACUUGGUAAACUCAGGCAGAGGGGUCCUCGGGGUCACACUGCCCCUGCUGCUGGCUUAUUGGGGGGGGGGGCUAUCUUGUCAGGCUCUUCACCCCAUACCAGCUAGAGAUGGGGCACUCAAUUUCAAGGACUGCUGGCCAAAGAAAGCACUUCAGAGGCCCCACUUUGGUCCUCAGCCCCCAGGAAAAUGGUUUGUCACACAGGUCCCUGCCCCUGCCCCUGGCCCAGACCCUGAGCUGCAUACCUGCUCCCCUGGGAGCUGGGCCUGUCUGGGCAUGGGAGAAUCAAGUCUUGCCCCAUUCUGGAACAUUCACAGUGAUGGCCUGGAGCUGUGAGGGAGAGGUAAAGAGACUGUGGCUGGAGGUUGGUUGCAUCAGGACGUAGGCUGGGGGUGACCUCAGCCUGGUGGGCAGCUCAGCCCUCAGUGUGGCUGCUGGCAUCAGGCAGACCACAUUGUCUGGAUGUGGAGUUCUGAGCUCUGUAGAGAGAAGCUGUUAUAUGUCUCACUACAUCAACCGUGCAUACCAGGAACCAAGCUCUAAGUGCUGAGCCUGAGGGUUGAGUGGCAUCACAGGGUGAGCAGAGCCCAGGGUGGAGGGGAACUGCUACACAAAGGCCACCUGUGUCCAUUCACCUGACUCUGGUAGCCUCAGAGGCCUCUAUGAUCCCCUCUUCAAAGAGGAGGUGGAGAGCAGCAUUGCUUGAGCCCCAGUUCUAUGCUUGGUGUUGAUGGUGUUCUGUCAUCACACCUGCCAGGGUGUGUGGGCUCUACAAGGCCCUGAGUUUGGGGAACACAACUCCAGCUCUCGGAUCUGGACCAGCAGGGAAUAUGCGUGGCAGCUCAUCCAGGAAUGCCCACUGACAGGAGAAGGCCUCAGCUCCCAGCAGCCAUGGGAGCAGCCAUCUUCCUUCUGGUCCACAGAAAAGCUCAGUGGCCUCCCAAGGGCACAAAGCCACUACGUAGGGAGCCCAGGACCGCGUGCCUUUCAGAUCUCCGCCUUCAUCUCUGGGCUGUCCUCGCCUCUCCUCCAGGCUUGUUGGAGACUCACAGGUCCAGUGGUGUUGUCACAGAGCAGACAGGCCCAAAGAGCUCACAGGACAAGGUAGGAGGGAGCUGGAGCUGGACGGACAGGCCAGCUCUGCUGCCUGUGACUCUUCGGAGUGGAGCAGAGGGUCUCAAAACCCAAGACGUUAAUAGUCUGCAGCUUGCUAACCACAAGAUAUACCAGAAGCACAAGCUGUGCCCAGCCUUUUUCUGUUUCCAGUUUGUUCUCAUAUUUUCAAAGUUCCACACACUCACAAAAGACCCCCAUCCUACCUGAUAAACAGUAUAAAAGUAACUUUCUACACUGGCGUGGAGCUCAGACUUUGGAGUGCGCAGCUCCUCUGAGCCUGGCUGUGUAAUACAGCUCGGUUUCCUCCAUUUCUCUGAGUGCUGAUCCGUUUCUUCAUCUUUGGCAAACCCAAAAUUGCUGAAGGGCCACAUGGAGUGCACAGAGUACCACAUUGCCAGAAUUUCUAGUUUAUGGGUUUCUUCCUGCUGCUGCAACCUACAAUAAACUUAGCUUGACACUACACAGGUUUAUUUUCUUAUAUUCUGGAGAUCAAAAGUCUGGCAUGGGGGGUUCAUGGAUAUGGGGCUCCUUCUGCAGGCUCAGGGAGACUUGUCUUCUCCAGCUUCUAGAGGCCACCACAUUCUUUGGUCUGUGACCCUGGAAUCCCCUUCAAAGCUCAGACUCUCACGUCUGACUCUGGCUUCUUGAUCAUAUUUCUCUGUGUCACUGACCAUCAGGGCCCCAUCUUUUCCUAAGGAUCUUUGGGAUAAUGUUGGGCUCACCUGGAUAAUCCAGGAUAAUCUCUCCAUCUCAAGAUCCUUCACUUAAUUACAUCUGCAAAGUCUGCUUUGUUGUGUAAAAUCCCAUACACAGUUGGCCCUCUGUAUACAGAGAUUCUGAAUCCAUAGAUUCAACCAACGGUGGAUUGAAAAUAUUUGGAAAAAAUAUUGCUUCUGUAUUGCUUAUGUACAUACAUUUUUCUUGUCCUUAGGAAAAUAAAUACAGUGCAAGAACAGUUCACAUAUCAUUUGCAUUAUGCUAGGUGCUGUAAGCAACUUGGGAAUGACUUAAAGAAUAUGAGAGAUGUAGGUAAGUUAUACACAGCUACUGUACCAUUUUAUACAAGGGACUUAAACAUUCAUCCUGGUGUUCUGCUGGGGGAUGGUCUGGCAUAGAUGCCCAUAGAUACAAAGGGGUGACUAUAAUUACUGUUUUGGGGGAUUAGGACAUAAAUACAGUUUCAAAGGAGAAUGUCCCCCCAAAGCCGUGUGUACUCAGAGGUAGUGCUCGGGAAGGUUACCGAAUUAUGGGGGCACUAUCACUGACUUGCUGUUAGGAGGUGGGGGUUGGUUGGAGGUGGGUUAUGGAAGGCUUUAGUCUCUCUGCCUUGUUCCUCCCUUCGCUCUGUUUCCUGGAUUCCAUCACAUCAGCAGCUUCUCUCUGCUAUGUCCCUCCCCCGUGCCAUUUCUUCAUUUGAGCCCUCCAACCACGGACUGAAACUCUGGGAGUGUGAACCUCUCCUCCUUUAAACUGGGUGCAUUGGGUGUCAUCAUACCUUAGCGAUGAGGAAAGGGACUCAGGCAGUUGAGGACCGUGAUGCUUCCUAGCACACUGAGUCUGUGGAGAUGUAUUUCCAGAAUUGUGCAAAGUCGUGGCGGCUCAAGUUGCUAUAACCAAAUGCCACAGAGUGCCUGGCUUAAAUCACAAACAUGUAUUGUUUCAUAGCACUGGAAAGUGGACAUCUAAGGUCAGUCUGUGAGCAUGGUUGGGUCUGGUGAGGGCUCCCUGCCUGAUUUGUAGACAGCAAGCUGCUCACUCGGUUUGUAUAUUAACUGCUCCUCUGCACCUGCUGAGAGGGGCGGGGGAGAGAAAAUCUCCAUCAAUAAGGCCCCUCGUUACUGAGUGAGUAUCCUAAGCUUAUCGUUAUUACAUGUAACUUUACCUGCUAAAAAUUCUAUCAGCAGAUAUAGUCAUGUUGGAGUUAGGCUCCCCACAGGUAUUUUGGGGGACACCAUUUAGCUCACAGCACAGAACAGCUGUCCCUUCGCUCACCCACCCCUCUCUCCCCGAAAGACCACUUUUCCAGGCUGCUCCGCCCACUGGAUUUCCUUGGUAUCCAACCGUGGUGCCUUGGCAGGAGACAGAAGGCAGGAAGGAAGGGGGGAGGGUUCCCCUUUUCCAGGUGCUACCCCAGGCCUGGAUGAGUCUCCCCUGUGGCCGCAGCUCUGCACAGGCCAUUCCUGUCAACAUCCCCACAGAGUGGCCUCAGCUUUGGGGGCCAGAAUGACGCAGCCCCCCUCCUUUGUCUCUAGCCAGGGGUGGUGAGGACUUUUUGCUGCUGAAGAUCCCUGUGGCCCCUGCCACCUGGAGUCUGGCUUCUCGGUCCUCCAACCUCUUCAUAAGCACAUCCUGGCAUCCCCCUUUAUUUCUUAGGCUCUGCCCCUCAAUCUCUUAGCAAAACCUUCCACUGCUGGGGGAGGGACUCAAGGGUUGCCCCUUACUCUGCCCUCCUUAGCGAGCUGGGUUUUGGGCAACAGAACUCAUGAGGACAGGGAGCUUCUAGGCUCUGUGAGUCGCUGAUCUGAUGGACCAACCUGGACCUUUGUAUGAUUUUUGUACUAUUGUGAUUUCUUCAUGGCUUAUAACAGCUGCUUGUUCAGUUAUCAAAAAUCCCAACAAAGUCUAUAAUUUUUAAAAACUAGGACUUUCCUCUAGCUCAGCGCUGGCCCAGAGAACGGUGCCAUUUUCUUCCUCUGCACUGUGCACUGUGGGAGCUGUUGAUCCCAGGUGCCCAUCUAGCCCUGGAACGUGACCAAUGAGGCAGAGGUGCUGGAUUUUAAAUUUUACUUAGUUUAUAUUUGAGGAGCCACCAGUGUUGGUUCUGCAGCUUUGAACUCUGCGGUCCCAGGGCACUCCCCACAGGGUUGACAGUGACUGCUCCCCGUCCUAGAGUUGUCUCUUCAACAUGUUAACACUGUGUGUGUUGGACAAGAAGGCAGUCACCAUUAGCGAGAGCACGGUGCUCGGCCUGUGUGAAAGAGGCACCUGGGAGGGGCUGGGGCCAUGGCAUUAUUGGUGACAAAAAGGAGGCCAGUAGAAAGCUCUCAUCUCCACUGCUCCUUCCCACCUUCCUCCACCACGUCAUAACGCUUUGUGGUCAAGUCUUUUACAGAUCUCUGCAUGAGACAAAUGGCGACCAUAGAGAGAGGUGGGCGCAGAGCUUGGCGUGGCCAGUGGUGGUGCCCUGCAUCAGAGCCAGACUGAGGGAAAGGGGAGGCGACACUGAGGAUGGCUUGCACCUGGAGCCCAAGGGGAGCCCUGGGUUGCUCUCUUUUGCCUUCCCAAGUCUCAGGGAAGUUGGAACUUGCAAAGCUAACAUGAGCAGCUUCCUUCGGUGUGUCGGUCACACCCGGAUGUCCUUCCCCUCCUGACACAGGAGCACGUGCUGUCCUCACCCUGCAGCCUCACAGCCAGCCCUGAGAGAUGAGAAUGACCAAAGGCAGGAGAGCCCUGCGUGGAGGGAGGGCUGGUGAAAUGCUGGACAGCCUUCCAGGCCGGGCGGUGGUGGAGUGGAUUCUGGGCCUUCCCGGAAGGAGGCGCUAGUGAGCACCCACAGGAGGGCGGGGUGUCCCUGUGGGCGCUGUGGGGUGUGCAAAGCGGGGUCAGGGCUCCUGGCAUCUCAGCUCCAGCAUCUGCUUGCUCCCCACACCCUCCCCUUGUUAAGCCGGCAUGUGGUCCCUUUGCUAGAAAAAGAACAGGGUAUUAAGGGCUUAGGAAAAAACAAAACAAAAACCAGAUUUUGAAAUCAGAGCUCUGGGCCAAAUGUCAGCUCAGGCACGCACUUGCUGGAAGGCUUGGCGUGGCACAAAGCCCUCUGACCCUCCCUCUCCUCGCUCCUGACCCUCGCAUGGUGGCUGCGAUCUGCUCUGCCUUGAGCGGCCACAGGUGACAGCAUCCACACGGGUCCCACCCUGAUGUGUCAGCCUGUGGUCUUUCUGUGGCUGAGGGGUGGACAGGGCUGUCACAGGGCCUCUGGGAGCUGGUAGGUGUGAGUUGGGUCCCACCUUGGUCGCUGUCUUUAAGAAGUCAGGCACGCGUUGUUGGAGCACGAAGCUGCACCACUGGCCUGAGGGUCGCUUCCCCAGCUCUAGGGUGAAUGUCGUGAGGGACAGCGUAUGUGUGUCACCAGUGGUGGUCCCUCCUGUGCCUCUCCUGCUGGCAGAACCUGUCACAGGGCCUGUGACACACCCAACCCGGGACGAGUCCUGAUGGGUCAGACACCGUAUUUCCUUUUUCCUACCUGGUCCAGUACUUGCUUUUCAAGUAUUGUGACUUGCAGCGGUCAAGCGGCCAGCUCUAGACUUGAGAAGCAAGAGAAGGCGCACGGCAAGAGUCAAAGCCAGACAGCACCAAGGGCCUGGCCCCAGACACCUGCCUGCAUCCGUGUACCGUGUGCGACCAUGUAUUCACACCAGUGUGUAUGUGUUACGGAAGUUACAAAGCCCUUGAUGCUGGGAUGCGUCUAGGAAGGAUUUUCCUCCUGGAUAAAAAGAAAAGCUCUUUUGAGGGAAAACUCUUUGGUCUCUGCCCUAUCCCUCCUGCCUGAGAAGCUGUGUACAAAAGCAUGAUGUUUGUAGCUCAGCAGCUAUCUUGUGACCAUGAGGCAAUAAGCAUGAAGACAAAACUAAACUUGGCAGAAGAAUGGACAAAACCCGGUCCUUGUUGGAACAGUUGAUGUUAGAACCUGCCCGUUGGACCCCAGUUAAGUGAAUAAUAAAGACUGCAUUUUUGGGGUUUAACUCAAUGCUAAUUGAGUUUUCUCUCGAUUGCAAGCAAGAGUCCUCAUGUGAGCACUGGGGAGGGCACCAAGGACAGCCAGGGGGGAGGACAGAGCAUGCUGAAGCACUGUUUGCAGAGGGCCCUGUGCAGAAGGGUCUGACUUGGAUCUGCUUAAUGUGCUUUAAAUAUGCAAAUAGGAAUCGGAAUUUCACGUUCUUCCCUUUCGAUUAUUUAAACUGUGUUUGUUUCUGACUGUCACAGGCUGAACUUUGGGGGGCAUAGAAAUUAUUUGAGUUACAUUUAAAACCACAAUUGGGUUCUGACAAACUAUGAAGGAUUAAAAGGGAGAUAAACUCCAAAAAAGUUUAUGUCAUAAUCUUCAUAUUCCUUAAGUUCAGGGUUCUUGCUUGAAAUAACUUAGAAAGUAUAAAGUACGCUGAAGACUAACAUCAAAGUGUGACACUUAGUUACGCAUCCGAGUGGGGUGAAAACUCCUCAGAUCAGCACAGGCCGAAGUGAAUCUAUUCACCCACAAAGGCACUAACAGAACAAAUCUGGCUCCAAAGGAAAGGCGAGGUGGAGGAAAAGCAGUCUGUCCUGUGUCUUACAGGGUUAAAAGGUGAAAAAAAAAGCCAAGCCUGAGAUUGUCUUUUCUAUUGAACUUGAAUUAUUUGCAUCCCCUCCGGAUACAUAAUCAUCUGCAGUUGUCGAAGUUGUACAAGUUAGCGUUUAACUUUGCAGAAUCUUGGCUCUAAUUAAUACUCAGUGGUGAGUCAAACCCGAGACUGCAGUCAGUCUGCUGACUUUCACUGGGGGACCCUUGGACAGUGCCCGGAGAUGAUUCUAGAAACCCACCGUGACCUUCCCCUUGGCUUCCGAGCUUGAGAAAUUUCUCUUAAUAUCGUGCAAGGGGAGUGGGUGGUGCCUUGUAACUUCCCUGACUGUGGGCCCAGCCCCUCUCUUACAGUCACACACACACUGGUGUGUAUACACGGUCACACGUGCGUACGUGGGUGCUGCCUGCCUUCCUCUCACGCCAAUGCGUGAUCUCCUCUAGCAAUGCUGCUGCUGUGGUGGUGCCCUCCACCCCAAGAUCUGACUUAGCUCACAGUGUGAAUGGGGCACCGAGGCGAGGAGAGUGCAGGUGGAAAGGAAUCAGCUGCACACGCGUGUGCAGAGACCCACACCUCCCCACUCUCACCCCCCACUUUCCCCUCACGCUCACACCCACGCUCACACAGGCUCACACACUCGUACUCUGUGUCAUGCACACAUUUGUUUGCUGUGAAGUGUGCAGCCUGAGUUCUAGCACCUGUCACCUGCGGGACCCUGUCCAGGCCCUGGGAAGGCUCUACCUGGGCUGUGUCCAUCACUUACAUUCUCCUUCAUGAAGACCCUCACGUGGCACGAGCUUCAGGCCCACAGCGCCCCCUCUCCCCUGCUCCCCAAUGACGGGUCCAGCAGGGCUCAUGCAAGAGGGGCUCGCAGCCCCCUCCUGCUGCCCGGGUUCUGACUGGCACACACUAAUCUUGCUUAAAUGAAGUGUGACCUACUUUUGCCUGAGGUCUUUCUCUGCCAGGCUGCAUCCCAGACACUCUUGGGGACCUGGUCACAAUCCAGUGGUUUCCAGGCCUUGGAGAAUCAUCCUUUGCUGUCUGACAACCAGAGAGGCAAGAAAGGCUGGCACAGGGCCGUGGAGAGGGCACUGGCGGGGCUUCAGUGACGUCUUAAUUCCCUGAGUCCAACCUUUGGCUGUCACUUCUGGUCCCACCUCCGAGAGGCUGGAAUGAGCCUCCUGCUGCAGGAUCUGAGUGCUAAUCGGCUCUACGUCUGGCCUGAAUUGCUCUCCUUUCCUACCCACGGGCCCCCUGGGCCUCUGUCGCUCACUGAUUUGGGGAGCUGGGGGCUUAUCUUUACAGAGCAGAUGGAGAAGUUCCCUUUUUUUUUUUAUUAAAGCCAUCCAGUCUGCAUAGAAGCAAUCUGCCAGCAGCUGCGAGACGAGCUGUUUUAAAUACAUUUCCAUAGCUCCUCAGCUGUCUGGGGGACUGGAUUUCUCGUCCCCUCUCCUCUUAGGAUACCAGACAACUGCAGGUGUCCUGUGUUGGGAGCCGCGGCCGAGCCCGGUCGCCUUACUUGGCGGACGUGAGGCCUGUAGGAAAGAGCAAAGCCUGAGCUAGAUUACCCCUCCCAUCGAGUGUGCUAAGAUGGAGCUUGUCCCCUGCUUCCUGCUUGGUAAACAACCCGCUCUGUAAGAUAGUCUGCCUAGCAACAACUGAUGUUAGCCAAUCAGCCCGCAUCGCGCGCUUUGAACUGAUUGGCCACUGUAACCUUAUAAAAGUGAGUGCCUCUCCCGCCAGAGGGAGAAGCACGGAAGGAGCCGCAGGGAGCGGACCGGUUGAGGCUUCGGCCGGGUAGGAUCCCGGGGCAGACUGUGAGGAAGACAAAUAAAGAAAAGCUUGUCCACCACGAAACCCUGUUGCGUGCUGUUCCUGCCGGCCGGGAGCGACACCGACAUCUGGUGGCCCGUACGGGGAGAAAAAAAUCCUGACCGACCCCGAGACGUGGUGGUGGACGAUACGCUCCAACACAGUGCUGCAGGACAGGGACCGGGACGAGAACCACUGUGGGUCCCAGAGAGGUUGAUGCGUGCGACAAGUCCCUCGACUGAAGAUCAGGCCUGUUCCACCAGAGGCCAACCGCAGACCCAACAACAAGAUGAGCCCUAAAAGAACUGCAGGACAAUCCCUUUUUGGGGGCCUGGAACGGCUUGCUCCCCUAUGUGCUACCCUUGUUAGGCCCUCUAUGCUCCUUGUUCUUGCUCCUGCUUAUAGGACCAUGCUUGCUCCGAUGGGUCACAUCGUUCAUUAAUGGACGCCUUGCGGCGGCACGUCGUCAGGUCCGAAUGGUUGUCCAUGCUGCUCUGGCAGCGGUCCAGAACGGGCAAAACGACCCCCAGGCAUACGCAUGGCUCGCUCGCAUGGCCUACGACCGCGUUUAAAAGUGACAGGCUUCCCACAUUCUCCUCCCUAGACAACAACAUGUAGCAGGGUGGGUGAGUCAAUGACGGGUAAGAGCGUGCCUCCCCAGCACGACUCGACCUAAGCCAGGCCCUACCCCAUGGCGCACGAAAGCCACUGGAUCGCUAGAUUCCGCCCCGAAUCUAGAUGCCUCUCCAAAGGGGAUCAUAAGGAGAGACGUGAGCGUAUGCCUAUGUGCACCCAGGUUCCAUCUGACCUAUCCCUGGCCCUGGAAAAAAGGACGAGGGCCUCAAGGCCUUGGUGGACCCUGGGACGGCCGCCCGGGUUCCAACCCAAAGGCCUGCGGUGGGCCUCAGAUACAGGGCGUAGGCCUCUACGCUCGAUCCAGGACAGGCUGCGAUGCGCUCGUUCUUGUAAAAUAAAAUAGGGGGAGAUGUUGGGAGCCGCGGCCGAGCCCGGUCGCCUUACUUGGCGGACGUGAGGCCUGUAGGAAAGAGCAAAGCCUGAGCUAGAUUACCCCUCCCAUCGAGUGUGCUAAGAUGGCGCUUGUCUCCUGCUUCCUGCUUGGUAAACAACCCGCUCUGUAAGAUAGUCUGCCUAGCAACAACUGAUGUUAGCCAAUCAGCCCGCAUCGCGUGCUUUGAACUGAUUGGCCACUGUAACCUUAUAAAAGUGAGUGCCUCUCCCGCCAGAGGGAGAAGCACGGAAGGAGCCGCGGGGAGCGGACCGGUUGAGGCUUCAGCCGGGUAGGAUCCCGGGGCAGACUGUGAGGAAGACAAAUAAAGAAAAGCUUGUCCACCACGAAA